rnacentral:misc_RNA from 1 species
AAAUAAUUUAAAAAAUUAUCAAAUUUUAUUAAGACAAAUAAUAAAAAGGUAAAAAAAAUUAUGGCGGCAAAUGAUCAAUCCUCCACUAUUAGAAACAUUUCCUCUCUUGUUUAUGAAGGUUUUGAGACACUAUCAAUAAUCUGAAAUUAAAAUAAUAAAAAUUAAAAAAACUAAAAAAAAAAUAAUGGAAGCCCACCGGUAAAAUUACACCAUAGUUUAUAUAAUUUUUAUUAAUUAAAUUGAUUGUGAUCUUAACAGGAAAAAGAGGCCGCCAUCCAAAAAUCAUGAACAAACUUAUCUUAAAAAAGCUUACUUCUACUAGCGUAAGUGAGUUUUCGUUUGGAUUUUGAUGGGAAGAGGAAAUCCAUGGGGACUAUUAUUUUGGUUCGAUUAGAAAAAGAAAACUAAAGUGAAAACAUAAUGUUCUACAGAUUAUCGUGCUAUCCAUUCACCCAAUUCUUUGUUAGAAGAAUCCAUUUGGGAGUUCUCAUCACAUAAUGCCAAACCACAAAAAAAAUCCUAGAAAUUCAU